rnacentral:tRNA from 1 species
UGUGUUGUGGCUCAGCGAUAGAGCACUCACAUAACAUGCGUGAGGUACUGGGCUCGAUUCUCAGCACCACAU